CCAGACGGUCGGACGGUCGCGGCGGGGUUUCGGCCCCGGCGAGGAAAGUCCGGGCUCCACGGUGAAAAGGCGGCGGGUAACGCCCGCCCGGGGUGACCCGAGGGACAGUGCCACAGAAAGCAAACCUCCGGUCUUUCGAGGCCGGGAAGGGUGAAAGGGUGGGGUAAGAGCCCACCGCGUCGACGGCAACGGAGACGGCACGGUAAACCCCGCCUGGAGCAAGACCGAAUAGGGAUGUCGCGCGCGGCUUGCCGUGCGGGGGUCACCGCCCCAGACGUCCGGGUUGGUUGCUGGAGCCGGUCGGCAACGAUCGGCCUAGAGGAAUGAUCGUCACCGCCUCCGGGCGGUACAGAACCCGGCUUACAGACCGUCUGGCAUU
rnacentral:RNase_P_RNA from 1 species